GGGAAAUCUAGAGCUAAUACAUGCAAAAGAGAAUUCUUUGAAAAAAGGAAUGCAUAUAUUAGAUACAAAUCCAAAAUACAAAGGUGAAUCAUAAUAUUUAUAGCAAAUCAUAUGGGGAAGUAAUUCCUGUGAUGAUAAACCGAUCAAAUUUCUGCCCUAUCAUACUUUGGACGGUAAUGUAGUGGAUUACGGUGGUGAUGACGGGUAACGGAGAAUUAGGGUUUGAUUCCGGAGAGGGAGCAUGAGAAAUGGCUACCACUUCCAAGGAAGGCAGCAGGCGCGUAAAUUACCCAAUCCUAAAACAGGGAGGUAGUGACGAUAAAAUAACAAUGAUUCAAUGAUAACAAAGUUGAAUUAAAUUGGAAUGAGGAACAAUAUAAAUCCCUUAUCGAGUAACAAUUUCAGGGCAAGUUCUGGUGCCAGCAGCCGCGGUAAUUCCAGCUGAAAAGCGUAUACGAAUAUGUUGCAGUUAAAACGACUCGUAGUUGG
rnacentral:rRNA from 1 species